GGAUCCGUAGCUCAACGGUUAGAGCGGUACUCUUAUAAAGUACAUACGAAGGUUCGAUUCCUUCCGGAUCCACCU
rnacentral:tRNA from 1 species